UGAGGAACAUGACUUUCGGCGGGGGAUAGCCGGCCCAACGGCCGGGUAAUACCGCGUACGACCUUUUGGGGACAUCCCCGAUUGGUGAAAGCAGCAAUGCGCCGAAAGAGUGCCUCGCGGCCUAUCAGCUAGUUGGUGGGUAAUGGCUCACCAAGGCGACGACGGGUAGCUGGUCUGAGAGGAUGGCCAGCCACAUUGGGACUGAGACACGGCCCAGACCUCCUAGUGGGAGNAGCG
rnacentral:rRNA from 1 species